GAUGAACGCUGGCGGCGUGCCUAAUACAUGCAAGUCGAGCGAAUGGAUUAAGAGCUUGCUCUUAUGAAGUUAGCGGCGGACGGGUGAGUAACACGUGGGUAACCUGCCCAUAAGACUGGGAUAACUCCGGGAAACCGGGGCUAAUACCGGAUAACAUUUUGAACCGCAUGGUUCGAAAUUGAAAGGCGGCUUCGGCUGUCACUUAUGGAUGGACCCGCGUCGCAUUAGCGAGUUGGUGAGGUAACGGCUCACCAAGGCAACGAUGCGUAGCCCACCUGAGAGGGUGAUCGGACACACUGGGACUGAGACACGGCCCAGACUCCUACGGGAGGCAGCAGUAGGGAAUCUUCCGCAAUGGACGAAAGUCUGACGGAGCAACGCCGCGUGAGUGAUGAAGGCUUUCGGGUCGUAAAACUCUGUUGUUAGGGAAGAACAAGUGCUAGUUGAAUAAGCUGACACCUUGACGGUACCUAACCAGAAAGCCACGGCUAACUACGUGCCAGCCGCCGCAGUAA
rnacentral:rRNA from 1 species